AGAUCAUCCAGGAACAACAAUCAAUCUUAAUUCAGAUGAUGAAUCAUAAAAAAAGUGGUCAAAGAAGAAUGAAAAGAUGCGUUAAAAUUCUAUGACCCAGAUGCCAAAUAUUUAUGGUUAGGACUUCACCACUGCUUGUACACGACUUCCUGCCAUAAUGGGAUUUAGGGAACGUCUUCAGGAAGGCAAUUAAAAAAACGAAUGGUACUUCACAGAACUUGCAUACAACUAUACAUUCCCUGAACCAACACCAAGAUACUUUAUAUGGUGCCGUAAAACAUGGGAGUUUAAAUUGCAUCCAGCUGCAAAAAUGGAUUUUGAAUGCGGUUCGAUUUUCAACAUCAGAUAUUACCCAGCUUAUAACCAAAUCGACCGAAGAUGUAGAGAGGAAACAACAGGAAAGGAUGGCUCUACAAACAGAACUGGUCAAUGUCGUGAAAGACUCUGUAUAACAAAAUCUAGAAUUGGAACUUUGAAUGAAAAAAAAACUGUUUCAAUGAUUACAUAGCACAGGGUUAUUUUAAUUUUUAUUGGAAGUUUGUGAUUAUGACUUAAAUAAAUGACACUUAAGAUAG